GGGGGAGGGGCAGGUUUGCAUUUACUAAGGGAUAGAAGAAAAGGUGCUUAAAGAAAUUUGUGCCAUUAAGGAUUCAUGUUCACCGCAUAGGUGGAUUGUAGGAUCAAUAUUUAUUUUGUUCCCUAAGAAGAUACAUAGCCUAACAGCUUCAUUUCAAAGUAUGGUAUUUAUUUCUAAUUUGUUUGUGAACAUUGUAUAUACAUAGGGUCCAAUAUGAAUCACAAAAUCAUUCAUCAUUGGCAACUGAAUGAAGAUUGUAGCAUCUGUUUAAUCCUCUAUAUCUCUAUGUAUUUGAUUAUGAAUCCAAGAUUUUAAAUUCCACGGGAUUGGGCUGUCCUGGUAUUCUCAUGGAAUGGGACGCGCUGCCGUCCUGCCCCGUUCCGACACUUGAAACAGGGGAUGUCUCAAGAUGCGCUGAUCGGAGUGUUGGGAUGCUGGUGGGACGGUCCUGUCCCAAUACAUGGGAUAGUACCCCGUCUCGAUGUCCCACGGGACGUCCUGCUGGGACUUGAAUUCUUGUAUGAAUCUUUGUAUGGUAGUACUCAGAUUGGAGCCUGGUGCAGAAAUUUGCUAAGAGACUUUUGGUUUUUUGGGGACCAAAGCUGACUUUUUUCUUUAUCAUUCUCCUUUGCGAUUUUUACCAUAGUUGCUGCAAGGGGGAAUGAAUGCGAGAAAGAAGCAGGAAAUGGUGCUAAAAAAAAAAAAAUCCAAUUCAGAAAACAGGACACAAUAACUUAGUAUAUGAAAAAUUGUUAAAAAAAAUGUAUAUGAGAAGAAAAGAAAGAGAUCAAGGGAAAACCAUCAAGAAACUAGUCAUUUCAAAGCUCUAUUUCAUUAAUUUUCACACAUUUCAUCUCUUUCAUGAAAUAGAAAGUUAAAUCUACCAUGGCAGAUAGGUCUUGUUGUCAUCAUGUCUUUCAAAGGAGGACAAAUACCAAUGCAAUACCUAACUCACCAAAAAAAAAAAAAAAUACAGCAAAGAUAUUGUGAUCUUCUUAUGACUUACUUUUUCAAUGGCACUAAACUAAAUGUUGUAGCAGGGAACUUUGGUGAAGUUAUAUAUCAGGUAAGUAAUGUUUUUUCUUCAA
rnacentral:lncRNA from 1 species